GACGAACGCUGGCGGCGAGCCUAAUACAUGCAAGUUGAGCGCUGAAGGUUGGUACUUGUACCCACUGGAUGAGCAGCGAACGGGUGAGUAACGCGUGGGGAAUCUGCCUUUGAGCGGGGGACAACAUUUGGAAACGAAUGCUAAUACCGCAUAAAAACUUUAAACACAAGUUUUAAGUUUGAAAGAUGCAAUUGCAUCACUCAAAGAUGAUCCCGCGUUGUAUUAGCUAGUUGGUGAGGUAAAGGCUCACCAAGGCGAUGAUACAUAGCCGACCUGAGAGGGUGAUCGGCCACAUUGGGACUGAGACACGGCCCAAACUCCUACGGGAGGCAGCAGUAGGGAAUCUUCGGCAAUGGACGAAAGUCUGACCGAGCAACGCCGCGUGAGUGAAGAAGGUUUUCGGAUCGUAAAACUCUGUUGGUAGAGAAGAACGUUGGUGAGAGUGGAAAGCUCAUCAAGUGACGGUAACUACCCAGAAAGGGACGGCUAACUACGUG
rnacentral:rRNA from 1 species